GGUUGAUCCUGCCGGACCCCACUGCUGUCGGGAUAGGACUAAGACCUGCUAGUCGCGCGCCUUCCAGCUAUGUGGGAGGAGCGGCGUACAGCUCAGUAACACGUGGCUAACCUGCCCUUGGGACGAGAUCACCCCCGGGAAACUGGGGCUAAUCCUCGAUAGGUGAAGAACUCUGGAAUGAGUCUUCGCCCAAAUACCAUUUGGAUCAUGCUUCCAGGUGGCGCCCAAGGAUGGGGCCGCGACCGAUCAGGUUGUUGGUGAGGUAAUGGCCCACCAAGCCUAUAACCGGUGCGGGCCGUGAGAGCGGGAGCCCGGAGAUGGGCACUGAGACAAGGGCCCAGGUCCUACGGGGCGCAGCAGUCGCGAAAACUUUGCAAUACACGAAAGUGUGACAGGGUUAUCCCGAGUGCCGACCGCUGAGGUUGGCUUUUACCCAGUCUAGAAAGCUGGGGGAAUAAGGAGAGGGCAAGUCUGGUGUCAGCCGCCGCGGUAAUACCAGCUCUCCGAGUGGUGUGGACGUUUAUUGGGCCUAAACCAUCCGUAGCUGGCCGAACAAGUCCCCUGUUAAACCCACCGAUUUAAUCGUUGGCUUGCGGGGGAUACUGCUCGGCUAGGGGACGAGAGAGGCAGACGGUAUUCCCGGGGUAGGGGUGAAAUCCUAUAAUCCCGAGAAGACCACCAGUGGCGAAGGCUGUCUGCUAGAACGCGCCCGACGGUGAGGGAUGAAAGCUGGGGGAGCGAACCGGAUUAGAUACCCGGGUAGUCCCAGCUGUAAACGAUGCAGACUAGGUGUUUGGACGGCCACGCGCCGUUCUAGUGCCGCAGGGAAGCUGUUAAGUCUGCCGCCUGGGGAGUACGAUCGCAAGAUUGAAACUUAAAGGAAUUGGCGGGGGAGCACCACAAGGGGUGAAGCUUGCGGUUUAAUUGGAGCAACGCCGGAAAUCUCACCGGGAGCGACAGCAGUGUGAAGGCCAGAUUAAAGGUCUUGCCAGACGAGCUGAGAGGAGCUGCAUGGCCGUCGCCAGUUCGUGCCGUGAGGUGUCCUGUUAAGUCAGGCAACGAUCGAGACCCGCGUCCUCUGUUGCAACCAGUCUUGUGCUGGGCACACUGAGGAGACCGCCACUGAUAAAGUGGAGGAAGGAGCGGGCCACGGCAGGUCAGUAUGCCCCGAAUCUCCCGGGCCACACGCGAGCUGCAGUGG
rnacentral:rRNA from 1 species